rnacentral:lncRNA from 1 species
AGGUCUCUCUUUUGUGGUAUUUUUGGAUCCUUACCAAGGCAUUGAUGGUAUAUGCCUUCUCUCAAGAUAUGUGGUAUUUGUGGUAUAAAGCAUAGUGACAUUGCCUUCUCUCUCACCCUACUCUAAUAAGGCUUUAAUAUCUGGAGCUUAUAGGUGGGAGAUAAAGUAUACAUACUUACAAGACAUGUAUUGCAUAGUCAAACCAUGGAUCCAAAGUAACAAGUCAAUAAGCCAAAUCAAGAUGUGCAUGUGUGGCGAAUGAAUGGUAUAUGGUGAUGAUGGUGAUAACAAUGGUGAAAACAAUGGUGGUGGAAGUCUAAUUCUACUUUGCUCUUUUGAUGGGAUACAUACCUUCCUUGCUUUUGAAACUUUGUGAGGAGAAUGAGAUGCUCUUCUUUUUCUUUUCUCUCAGGUGGGUAUCUUGCACCCCCUAAUUCUACUAUCGGACACUUGUCCAUUUUUACCUCUCGUCUCACUUUUUCUUUUCUUUCGAGGUUCCGAGCACUUGCUCCUUUUUAUUUCCUCGUAUUAUUAUUUUUUUUAGAGCAUUCA